GCACGUUAACUACUUCAGGUUAGCUUAGCGGACCUGCUCACAAGUCAUCUGCGUUCACUCCUCAGGGAUAGCAGGUCUAAGUCAAACUAGCGUAUCGUUGAACUGCAAAUGCUGCAAUACUGCUGCUGCUAACACAUCUACUCGGGUUAAUAACUGACGAUGUCCCAGGCCGACCUCUAUAGAAACUGCAUUUUCCGGCAGCAAGAGCCAGCAGAACUCACCGGGCGUAGUGACACCAAAAGGAAACUGGAAUCUUCUCUAUUUGCGACAGAGGAAGGAGCAAACUUGACAUUCAAAAUGGCGGCCGGGCCAGCCUGAGAACACCCCUGUAGGCGGAGGGAUACUUCAAGACGGUGAAUGGAUUCCAUUCGGGCUCAGUUUCUUCUAGGGCAGAAUGAAGGCGUACGACUUGGACACCAUUGGGGCUCAGUUUCUGUGAAGCCCGUAGGAAGGUAUGCAACAUGGACUUCCCUCUGGCUCUGUUUCUUCCCGGCACGUAAGAAGGUGUGCGACGUGAACGCCAUUCGGGCUCCAAUUACUUGGAAAGUAUUCGCGAAAGGGACUCCAUUCGGGCUCCCGUUUCCCUUUUUAUAUGUACUUUAGUCAACCUGCCUGUCUAAUAAGCACUUCAAAUUUACAGCAUAAUGUCAUAAUGUUGGUAUAAUUGUAAUGAGUACACACACACACCAUAAAAUCAUAAGACAGA